AAGGUAGCAUAAUAAAUUGACUUUUAAUUGAAGCCUUGAAUGAAAGGAUAAAUGAAUAAUUACUAUAUUAUAUUAUUUACAAUAAUUUUCUUAAAAGGUGAAAAUUCCUUUUUAAUAUAAUAGACGAGAAGACCCUAGGAGUUUUUUUGUUGGGGCAACAUUAUAGCAUAUAACCUAUAAAUUAAAAGUUAUAAAUCGAAAAUUUUUAAUAAUAAUUAAACUACCCUAGGGAUAACAGCAUAAAGUUUGUGACCUCGAUGUUGGAUUAGGAAUUUUAAAGUUAACAGCGUUAAAUGAUAGUUCUGUUCGAACUUAUUUACCU
rnacentral:rRNA from 1 species